rnacentral:rRNA from 1 species
AACUUCAAGGAAUUGACGGGGCCCGCACAAGCGGUGGAGUAUGUGGUUUAAUUUCGAUGCAACGCGAAGAACCUUACCUAGGUUUGACAUCCGGAAGACCUUCCCGAAAAGGAAGGGUGCCCUUCGGGGAAUUCCGAGACAGGUGCUGCAUGGCUGUCGUCAGCUCGUGCCGUGAGGUGUUGGGUUAAGUCCCGCAACGAGCGCAACCCUUAUUGCCAGUUGCUACCAGGUAAUGCUGGGCACUCUGGUGAGACUGCCCCGGUUAACGGGGAGGAAGGUGGGGACGACGUCAAGUCAUCAUGGCCCUUACGCCUAGGGCUACACACGUACUACAAUGGCGCAUACAAAGGGCAGCGAUACCGCGAGGUGGAGCCAAUCCAAAAAGUGCGUCCCAGUCCGGAUUGCAGUCUGCAACUCGACUGCAUGAAGUUGGAAUCGCUAGUAAUUCGAGAUCAGCAUGCUCGGGUGAAUGCGUUCCCGGGCCUU